rnacentral:tRNA from 1 species
GGGGAUGUAGCUCAGUGAUAGAGCACAGUGUUUAGCAUGCACGAUGCCCUGGGUUCAACUCCAGCACCUCCA